rnacentral:rRNA from 1 species
AGGUCCCUACGGGACGCAGCAGUGGGGAAUAUUGCACAAUGGAGGGAACUCUGAUGCAGCGACGCCGCGUGAGUGAAGAAGUAAUUCGUUACGUAAAGCUCUAUCAGCAGGGAAGAAAGUGACGGUACCUGAAAAAGAAGCUCCGGCUAAAUACGUGCCAGCAGCCGCGGUAAUACGUAUGGAGCAAGCGUUAUCCGGAUUUACUGGGUGUAAAGGGAGAGUAGGUGGCAGAGCAAGUCCGAAGUGAAAACACAAAGCUCAACUAUGGGAAUGCUUUAGAAACUGCUCAGCUAAAGUGGAGGAGG